UCCUAUUUUAUUUGGCAACUAAAAUGAAGACAAUAGCUAUAAAGGGAAUGGAGGCUGUCAUCUUUAUUUUUCUACCAAUUAAGAUAAAAUCAAAUAAAAUUAAAAUAAAAGAAAAUAGACAUAAUUAGGUAACUUACCAAUUUUUCCCUUAGGCUAUUUUGGCUAGGUUAGAAUAAAGAGGGAAGGAAAAAGGAAAGAGAGCAGUAUGGUCAUUUGGGACCGACGGCUAGAGAGAGGCUGCCAUUUUCUAGAGAGAAGGAGGAGGAAAAAAAAGUGAAGGAGAGAGAGAGUGGGCGAACUAGUGAGAGAAAGAGAAGAAGAAGGAGAAAAAUGAGAAGAAGAAGGGUUCAAUCCUAGGGCGUGAACAAGGGGUGAUAUAGUUUGAGUAUUGGUCACUUUGGGUGUUCUUGAUUUUACAAUCAAGAGAGGUAGCAAAUGGGAUUUCUUUAUGGCACGCGUGGUGAUGUGGGGAGUUCCAACGUCAGGGUGUAUGGCGUGGGGGCAUCCUAUGGACGAGAAAACGAUCAGUUUAACGCCAGUUUCUAAAUAAUAAUGUUAUGUUUAUUUUUUUUAAAAUUUCAAAACUUAUCAGUGGGACUUAAACUUUAUUUAUUUUUAAAACGUUGCAUGAAAACUAUUAUUUUUAUUUUAAACUUUUGGGCCCAACUUGCAUGUUUUAGCAAGGCCCCACUGGGAUUUUUCAUAUAAUAAAUGGCCUUCUUUUUAUAAGUUUAUGAGCAUGUAAAAUUUUUACAAGUACUAGAUUAGAGUGUUUUACAAAUGGUAUCAGAGAUGGUCAUCCAUGUUUCCAAGAACCCUCCCUAUACACGCUAAAGACGGGAAAAUCUCACCUCACUGCGUCGUAAGUAUUUUUUUUAUGUGAUAUUACUUGUUUCUGUUAUAUUUAAUUUUAUAGUUUUGUAGCUGCAAUAUAGUAAGAUGCCUCCCGUUUUGAAAACUACUAAGAAACAACUACUCAAGGAAAUUCAUGCAAUACCCAAGGUCCAGCUUAAGGAGGAUCCCUAUGAUUGGAA